CAACUUGUCUGCAUUUAUGGUGGCUUGACCACACACACAUGUUUUGGCAACUUUGCUACAAUAUAGUGGCUCGACCACAUAUAUUUGAUCUAGCAAUUUUAACUGCAACUCUGGUGGCAUCAUCCAAAAUUAUCUGUUGGUGUGUUAGAUGGACAGGUUCUGGGGGAACUCUAAUUUGAUGCGUAGCAAAGUUGGGUAUUCAGCAAAUUUAGGAUCGGACGGCAUGUAGAAGCUUGGAUUAUUUUCUCGGUUAAAUAAAUAAGAUGAUUUAUGUUUAUAACAUUUCUGGACUUCUUGGACUAUAAAGUUGUUUUUGAAUUG